rnacentral:rRNA from 1 species
AAUAAGAUACAGAAGAGGUAAGUCGUAACAUGGUUCAACGGCCGCGGUAUCCUAACCGUGCGAAGGUAGCGUAAUCACUUGUUCUCUAAAUCAGGACUAGUAUGAACGGCACCACGAGGGUUAUACUGUCUCCUUUUUCUAAUUAGUGAACUUAAUCUUCCCGUGAAGAAGCGGGAAUGAGCUUAUAAGACGAGAAGACCCUAUGGAGCUUUAAACAAUUUAGCAUUUGCACUAUCUUAAUAUUAAAUUAUUAGACCCUGCAUAAUGACUAGAAGUUUUAGGUUGGGGUGACCACGGAGUAAAACUCAUCCUCCACGAUGAAGGAACUAAUUCUUAACUAAGAAACACACUAAGUAUCAACACACUGACAUUUAUUGACCCAAUAUACUUGAUCAACGAACCAAGUUACCCUAGGGAUAACAGCGCAAUCCAUUUUAAGAGCUCCUAUCGCCAAAUGGGUUUACGACCUCGAUGUUGGAUCAGGAUAUCCCAGUGGUGCAGCCGCUACCGUUCGUAAUAAUCUUUAUAGUUAUACCAAUUCUAAUCGGGGAUUUGGAA